UAGGGAAUCUUCGGCAAUGGACGAAAGUCUAACCGAGCAACGCCGCGUGAGUGAAGAAGGUUUUCGGAUCGUAAAACUCUGUUGGUAGAGAAGAACGUUGGUGAGAGUGGAAAGCUCAUCAAGUGACGGUAACUACCCAGAAAGGGACGGCUAACUACGUGCCAC
rnacentral:rRNA from 1 species